AUCGCUUCUCGGCCUUUUGGCUAAGAUCAAGUGUAGAAAACAAGUUUCUACUAACAUUUUUUUUUUUUUUUUGGUACCGGGGAUUGAACUUGGGUCCUUACGCUUGUGAGGCAGGCAGCAGAACCACUGAGCUAAAUCCCUGGCCCAUAACAUUUUCUUUUUUGAGUGGUGCAAACCAU
rnacentral:snRNA from 1 species